UCCGACUGAUUGGGACCCUGCAGCCCAAGACCGGUUACUCACUGAAGCUAAGCAGGGCUGAGCCUGGUCAGUAUCUGGAUAGGACACCACAAAAGAAAACUGGGUUGCUGUUGAAA
rnacentral:rRNA from 1 species